GAUGAAGAACGUAGCGAAAUGCGAUAAGUAAUGUGAAUUGCAGAAUUCAGUGAAUCAUCGAAUCUUUGAACGCACAAUGCGCCCGCCAGUAUUCUGGCGGGCAUGCCUGUCUGAGCGUCAUUUCAACCCUCAGCCCCCGCUCGCGGGGCGCUGGCGUUGGGGAUCGGCCGUCCUCGCGGCGGCCGGCCCCGAAACACAGUGGCGGUCUCUCGCGGACUCCCCUGCGUAGUAGCACUACCUCGCAGAAGGGACGAGCGGGCUGACCACGCCGUAAAACCCCCCACUUCUCCAGGUUGACCUCAGAUCAGGUAGGAAUACCCGCUGAACUUAAGCAUAUCAAUAAGCGGAGGA
rnacentral:misc_RNA from 1 species